AACGCGAAGAACCUUACCCAGACUUGACAUACAGUGGAAGUUAGCAGAAAUGUUAACGCUCUUCGGAGCCGCUGAACAGGUGCUGCAUGGCUGUCGUCAGCUCGUGCCGUGAGGUGUUGGGUUAAGUCCCGCAACGAGCGCAACCCUUAUCGUUAGUUGCCAACAGGUAAUGCUGGGAACUCUAGCGAGACUGCCUGGGUUAACCAGGAGGAAGGUGAGGAUGACGUCAAGUCCGCAUGGCCCUUAUGUCUGGGGCUACACACGUGCUACAAUGGCCGGUACAGAAGGCAGCGAAGCCGCGAGGUGAAGCAAAUCCCAAAAGCCGGCCCCAGUUCAGAUUGUAGUCUGCAACUCGACUACAUGAAGACGGAAUUGCUAGUAAUGGCAGGUCAGCAACACUGCCGUGAAUACGUUCCCGGGCCUUGUA
rnacentral:rRNA from 1 species